AUCCAGGAUACAGUUACAUCUUGAUUGGUCCUAAGCUGAGGAGGUAAGAUGAGUCCCGAGGUUAUUUUAGUGCAUGCGGCUAGGAUUUCUCUACUCAAAUUGGUGCUCAAAUGGAGAGUGUUGCUUGAUUGGCAUCUUGAGGUAAAACCUGUAAAUGUUACUGACUGAAGAUGCUAAUGGAUUCACCUCACUUUGGAAGAGGACCCCAGAGAAGGUUCACUGAACUCAAUAGCUUACCCCUUUGCAUGAUUUGGCGUUUGUUGUGACUUUGGCUUAUAUGAUGGCCUUUCGUGUUCUGUUUGUACAAUUAUUUCUUCAAGUGAAUCAUUUGUGCGGUACUCAGACUGGAUAGCGCCUCAACAAAAUAUACCGAGGUAUUGUUCAUUAUUUCCAUGCAGACUUUAGGCUUCGAUUCCAUAAUCAACUAACCUUUGUUCAAAGCCAUCAAGGAAACAAAACCAAGUACGUCGAUGAAAAAAAAUUAGGACAAGUAAAUCAAAAGCAAGCUAAGAUCGAAAGCAAUGGACUGAAAAAUAAACACAGAUGAGCUGAUGAUAUGCAGCUGGCUAGGCAUUGGAGUUAAAUGGAGUGGUUCGAGCUCUUUAUAGUGUAUGUGCCUGGCAUUUACAAGUGAAAUUUUACCAAUGGAGUAUUGGAGUAUAUCAUCAGUUCUUAAAUUUUAAUCUUCAGAAAAAGAUACAUUUCAGAAUUUAAUGUUAUGUCUUAGGAGCAUGCACCAACAUGCUCAAAUGCACGGUAAAGCAGCAUAGAAAGAACAGUUUGCAUGUGUACUAAAAUUUUCUCUCACCAUUUGCCAAUUGUCAUUUUUCGGGUAACCAUGACCACGUCACCAGAUUAGCCAAGUGAAGGCUUUGCUUCCAGACGAAGACAAAUUGCCAACUGCCAUCCCGCCAAGAGCAACCUCGACCAGGUCACCAGAGUAGACAAGUGAAAGUGUUACUUACAUAUAUGUAGAGAAAUAAUGGCACAACAUCUAAAAAAAAAAAGAAUUUCACAAUGCAAACAAGAAUGUGCAGAAGAUGAUUAUGGAACUCUGCAGUUGGUUCUUCCCUUGAAGAUGCCCAGCAGUGAUGGUCAGAAAAGCGAUUGUGGUGCUAUAAAAUAAGAUGAUGACACGCUGCAUGUUUAGCUGUGACCGAACUCAUGGCCAGGAAGUGUUCUAAUGCCAUGCUUCAAGGGGCAUGCAUAGGCCACCAGUGGACAGGAAACUUCCCUCAGUUAGUCACUUUCUAGUCUGUUGCUUGCUAGCCAUGGUACAUCAUAAAUGAGGCAUGCCGUUGUUACGUCUUGAUUGAUCCUGAGCUGAAGAGGUAAGAUGAGUCCAAAGGCUAUUCUUGCGGAUACGACUGGGACUUCUAAUAGGGCCGACAUACUCAAAUGAUAUUUUUUCGGAUGGAAAGUCAUUGCUCACUGAAAAUCGAGGUAAACCUGUUAUUGUUAUUGAUAUGAAGAUGCUAACGAGUAGUUACUUUGGAAGAAGACACCAGACAAGGUUCAGUGAACUCAAUAACCCGCAACUGAAUGGCUCUAUCGCUUUGCAUGAUUUGUGUGUUCGCUAUGACUUUGCCUUCCCUGGUGGCCUUCCGUGAUCUGCGUGUACAAUUAUUUCUUCGCAUGAAUUGAUCAUCACAUGUUCACGUCCCGAAGCAAUUAUGCGUUAGUGCAAAACUCAGACGUGUUAGCUGGAUCUUCAUGCUUGCUCUGCCUGUUGACUAGAAUUGUGGAACACCUUUUGAAGAUCUCAACAAAAUAUACCAAGUGAUGCAGGCAACUAUCACAAAGAUGAUGUUACACCCGAGCGGUGAGAAUGCCAAAUUCUGCACCAACGACCCUCUCUUGCCUUUCCCUUUCGUGUUCUCAUUGGUGGUUUUAGUGUCUCCACUGGGUGGUGCAAAUGUUGCUGAUGAUGGCAAAUACCUGAGACCAAGAAGUAAAUUACCGCACAUGAAUUUGAGAUUCCAAAGCCAGGGACAUGAGCGAGCAGUCAAUGGAAUUCUCCCCAGAGUGCCUCGCAUUCACCACCAUGAAGAAUGCAUUGACUGUCUUCUGAUAAGAGCCGAGCCCAUCAAACACUGAAGAGUUCCAGUCAACAGAGCAAAACAGCGUGACCCCAGCUGCUACAAUGCCGAUGACCGUCGAGGAGAGAAACACAGUCGGCAACCUAGGAAGCAAAUUAGCAAAAUGCACUUCCUCGGGGUUCUUGGUCAUGAGCCUCAGCUCCUUCACCUUUGUGAGCUUCCCCAGGAACCAUACCAGUAGCCUCAGGAAGAGAGGGAAUAAUGUGUUGCCUGCGAGCAUCUGGCCACUGAGCAGCAACAAGAGGCCUGAAUUCUUUGAGAAGAUGACCAUGUUCUCAUUUGUGGGCACGAGUCCUGCAUUCGCACAGGAGGCGACGGUGACUGAUAGUGAGAAGAGCACGAUGUUGAUCCCUUUCUUGUUCAGUGGGGCACUUGCAGUUGGCACAUGAGUUAUAUACAGAAAAACCAGCACAAAACCCAAGACAUGGAUCACGGCGAAGUACCCAAAGACCACAUAUCCUAAGCACUUGACAGACCUACUCCUCUUCAACUCUGUACAUUUCUUUGGUGGAAUUGCAUGAGAAGCGUCUUCAAGCUGCGACUCAUCACAUAGUGCCAUGCUGUUGGCCAAGUCUAGCACUUCAAGCUCGACCGGAACUGAGCUGAUCUUCACGCUCGGAAGAUCUUGCAUGUCUUGAUGGUUCACUCUAAGCAUGAGGCCUAAGAGUGAAACAAAGAUCUCCCCUCCUACAAGCAUGAGCAGUGUUAGGACCACAAUCUGAGAGCUCGAGAGGUCCUCCAUCUUGACGGUGCUGAGGCCAGAAACUGUUAGAGCAGAGGUUGACAAGUACAACAUGUCAAUAUAAGGAGGGCUGAACUCAGGAUUGCUUGGUUUCAGCGAUAUCAAGAGGACUGAACCAAGUAUAGCAAUGGCAAGGAAGUAGGACAGUUGGAUCCAGAAUGGAUGAACAUGCAAUGCGACGAAUCGAUAGAUGAAAACUAUCGAAUCAACGACAUAUCUACUGAUACGGCUGAAGCUAUGCAGCUUGAUAUGGAUGAAAUCCUGAUCCUGCAGGUACUGCACAUGUUCUCAGGAAAUUGUUCUGAAGUUGGAUUGGUGAUCAUGCUGAGUGAAAAAUCUCAUUCUUCAGUUUAUUCUAUGAUGGCGCUGAUAAGUGCAGCUGUGGAAGGUUGCACUUGCAUCCCACAGUACUUGGUAUACCAGUCCUCAAUCAAGUUGCUGUUGUUCAUAGCAACACUCAGGAAGGGCUGAACUCAGGACUGCUUGGUUUCAGCGGCAUCAAGAAGACUGAACCAAGUAUAGCAAUGGCAAGGAAGUAGGACAGUUGGAUCCAGAAGGGAUGAACCGACGAACCGAUAGAUAAAAACUAUCGAUAUCGACGACAUAUCUACUGAUGCGACCGAAGCUAUGCAGCCUGAUAUGGAUGAAGUCCUGGUAAAAUCUUUUCAACCUUAUGUGGAUGCUGCCUGGUGGCUUUAUUAAUUUAAAGCCGGACGCUUCUAGCAUCUUCGUUCCAAAAAAAAAAACUUUUCACCCGACCCAUGAUAUGGUAUGAGUGUGAGAAACAAAUGCAUACAUCUGUGAUAAAAACAGGCCUCAUA